rnacentral:lncRNA from 1 species
CAUUUUUUCCUAUUUAUUUGACCCUCUUGUAAGCCACUUCUUCAGCUUGAAGUCAGAAGUCAUUGGGCGGAAGUGGAGAAACAACACUUGCUAAAAGAAAUUCCUUUUAGCAACUCAAUAUUAGGCUUUGGAGUUUUUUUAGCCAGAGUUGUUUUCCCUCUUCUCAACUCUGUAGAUCUGCAGAACUUUAUUUCUCUAUUUAUGCCUUUUUCACUUUUUUUGUUGAGUAAAAGUUAUUUUUUCGGGAUCUGUUCAGAUAUUUUCCUUAUUCCGUUUGGGGAUCACUGAGAAGUUCAUUUCAUCUAAUAUAGGUUGAUUCCUACGGCGAAAUUGAAUUAGUGUUUCCAAUUUCUCGUCUCCUCAAUUUUUUUUUGUUUCAGUUUAGGUUGCUUGAGCUUGCUAACUGUAUUCUUCAUUUUUUUUUGUGAGCGCGUACUGGUCAGGAUGAUGAAGAAGACUAUAAACAACCAAGCCAUGGAACUGAGCUACCUGCUUGAAAAAAUUGAUACAGUAAGUGCUAUUCUACAUUCAGAUUUAUUCUUAUUGAUUUGACUAUUGAGCUUGCUGCUUUGUUUUUUCACACUAUGAAGUUACUCUCCCGUUUACUAACGACAUUAGCUGUUCCUGCUCAGCCAUACCACCUAGUAGUAAAAGAAGACUUGUAGAAUAAACAUUUACAGAGAACAUAACUGAUACAAGGCAUCACUGUUCUGUUUUAAUAUUUGGACCUUCCACUGGUUAAGAAGACUGGGCGUUUUCAUUAACAAGUAGACAACAAUUAGUAUAGUGAUUGUUGUUGACUUGUUGACGCUUUCCCCUUUCUGUGAUAAUCUAUUGCUUUGAAUUCUCAAUUAUCCCCAACCAUAAAGUGAAGGGAAGGCCAAAGUGGUUAAGAUGAUCCUAAUUCCUAAGAACCAAAAGUCAUGCAAUUGACUUGAAAUAAAAUUUUCUAUUAAUUUUGUUUUACAAGAGGAUGCAACGUAUUGAUUCACACAAACUUAGGAUGUAUUUAAUUGGAUAUUCAUGAAUGAGCAUGGCUAAAGAGUAAGGUUCUGAAGUACCAAACAAUCUCCCCUUUGUCAUUCUUUGAGAAGUAUAAUUAUAACCACUUGCACUUAGACAUCUAUAUUAAUAAAACAUUCUUUAGCAUCCUUAAACCAACUAGCUGACAUGUACAUAAGAUGAAGGAUGGUAUUAUGUUUAUUUGUGGACCACUAUAAAAGAAGAAACAUACAAACUCCUUAAAGAUUGUACCCAGUUUUGAAAUAUACAAGCAGUGGAUCUACUUGAUGAACACUGAUUCAUUAAGUAUUUCCCUUUUGGUCAUGCACUAAGGAAUGAAUCACAAGAACAACACAUCCAUUUAACACAAACGAGGGGCUCUUAUUCUCUGGACGAUAUAAAUUAAAGGACACAGGGAGUUGCCUUGGGUAUAGCAAACCAACCCUCCCAAGAAGGUAACUAUGUCUAAUUAGAACAUUACUGACCAAAUGACAAUGUCGACUUAGGAUAGAAGGUGCCUCCCUUUAACACAAAAUAAUAUACUAUUAACAAAUAUGAGUUUCUAACUGAGUAGAGGUAAGCUUAUAUUUUAUAUCACCAAAUUGUGAACUCAUGAAAAGCUUAAAAUAUGCAUAUUCCGGAGUCAAACAAACAAAUGAUGUCCCACUUAUGAACAAGAUCAAGAUGAAUGCCCUAUUAUUAUUUUAUUUUUGGUGUAAAGAGGAAUUUACCGUCAAUACUGAAUCUAUCCUAGAGAUUUUAGAAUCCUUGUAAGUUGUAUAGGAUAUAUGACUAAAUGGAAAGUUAGCUCAAAAGAACGACUUUAAAUGUUGGCAUGAGUUUAGCAAGAAUAGAAAUUAACAGUCAUGAGAUAGAAUUCUGAUAGAAACUUUCGAAUUGAAUUUAACACGAAACUUACAUAUUACUGAAAUUACAUUAAAAAGGGAAAACAUUAUGUGAGCUGAUUGCUUCCCUGUUCUUAUUUACUGUAUUUUAGUGUCCAGGUUCAAAAGGAAAAUUCUGCCCCUGUUGCGGUCAAGGAAAAUUAUUGGGCGUGAAAGAUAAGAUGUGUAUUACACUAUUACAAACUUGUAAGUCACCACUGAUUCAAGAUAUGAUCAUGACAAAGCAGCCUAUAAUUUUUAAGGCUUUGAUUCAGCGGCAGAAGUCAUGGUUAACGGGCGAAAACCAUGAUCAAGACUAGCUUUCCACACUCUUUCAAUAUCAAACAUCAUAUUACCACACUCAUUCUCAUUCCAGCCUUCCAAUGCGUGCAAAAUCCCUGCUAUUCUUGAUGCACUCAUCACCCUUCUUGGUAGCCAGUUCUGGGGUUAUAAUAUUAGUCAUAAGUUUACUUUAAUUAUCCGAAAAGAUCAAACAAAAAAUUUAGGAAUUUAAAAUUAUCUUCUCUAACCUCACAAGAGUCUACAUUUUCAAGUUGUUUUGGGAUAGUCAUGGCUGGUGUGCUGAAGUAGAUGCAAUCCUUGCGAGCUUUCCUUGGUGGAAACUGUGAAAAAGGAAUAAACAAUGUUCCUUUUGGUGCUUUCAAUUGUUCAUCUUCACUCAAUCUGUCCCCUACUAGCCAUAUCUGCAAUACAAUACUUCAAUCAAGAACUAUUUUCUGCGAGACCGUGGGGUGAGGGAGAGGGAGAGGGAGAGGGAGAGGGAAGAGUUCUCUUUUUUUGUUUGAAUUUUUUGAAAUCUAAAAUGGUUCAGAGGUCAAUUAUGAAUUAGUCUGGAUUAGGAGAGAAGGGGGAGGGGAAUGGAGUUGUUAUAAAUUAUCAAGAUUCAGGAAAGUAUUAUCUGAUGUAUUAUGGUUUAUACCUUUGACGCAUUAGUCUUUGAAAGGACCAAAUUGGUAGCAACCUUGGGGGUAAGCCUUGCUUUAAGUCUCUUGAACUCUUCUCCGUCUAACAUGACAACCUAUAUGUUAAAAAAAUUCAAUGAAUGAAAGUCUGGGAAACCAAAAUCAUGGAGGAGAUUAAGUGCAAGAUACCUGAAUUCCUCUUUGGCACAAGACAAGGGCAAUGGAGCAAGAAACUUUGGACAAACGACCUCUAAGGACCACUUGGGAAGUUCCUUUAGGAAUGUUGUUUAGGACCACAGCAACAACUAGACUACUUCCAUCAACCACUUUCACUUUCAACUGCGGAUGCCUCCUUAUGUAAAGUUCACCGUUAUUAUUCAGCUCCUCUUCCUGUUAGAACGUUACAUUGUGUGACAUUGUAAGUAUCAACUGGAACCCUCUUUCGUCCAGCCAACAAACAUUGGAUAUAAGGUGUUGGGAGAAUUUUUUUUAAAUUCAUUUUCUCCCUAAUAGUGAAUAUCUGCCAUAGCUAACAGAAUGUUUUUCUCAGAAAAUUGCAUUUUAGGUAGAGAUCAUGCAUUUUUCUUAUAUAUAAAGUAAGGAUGAGAAUUAUUCGAUUUUCUAUUGUCUUUACUUACCUGAUUUAGGAGUCCAAGGCUCAAAACUUUUAUGCCUUUCAGAUCAGCUUCCAUGAUGGCUUCCUCAAUCAAAUUGUUAAUAGUAUCUCUUUGCCCUUGCAUAAAGUACUGAACAAAAUAAAAAAUUAGGUCAACUAGUCUUUAAUAAUGUAUCCAGAACAUACAAGUCAUGAUUAACAAUAAUUUCUUACUUGUUUCCUGUAUUUUGGGAUAGCCCAAGUUUGUAAUUUAAGAUUCCUGAAUAAAUUUCUCUCAACAACAAAUGUUUGACCAUAAAUCCAAGUAAUAAAAAACGACCAUAGGGUAACGGGCCACAUUAACCAAAAAUACCACUUGGAAGCGUGAGGCGUCGAGGCCAAGGAUGCAAACCCUAGUCGGAGAUGGUAGAUAGAUUCAGGGGUUGUUAGAUGUGUUAGGUGCACCACAUCAGGCAAUUCAGCUUUCCUCUCAAGUGACUUUUCAUACAAUGUAUCUGACGACUUGUCCACUGUACCAUACAGAUAGUCAUACAUUGGCAUGAAAAGUGAAUAAUUUGUUCUAAAUUGAGUGUGAUGUAGCGAGUGAUACCUGUGCCAUCAAAGAAUUGACAUUAGUUGUAAUAAAUAAAACAAAAUCAUCAGGGAUUACUAGUCUGCCUAGUCAGUAUGAAAAAAAUACAUUUGAAGGAAGACUUCUAUUUCCAUUUUCCCUUUUAUUUCCUGGUGAACUAAACUUGGAUACAAAAUUUCUGUUCACUGAGGCGUCUAACUUUGUACAGAAGUACCAAAAUUGCAUCUUUUUUGUCACUUCUAAUUAAACUGCUCUGCUACCUUCUAGAUAUGCAUGAAUAAAUACGUCUCGGGGUCCCUGAAUGUGAAGAAACAUUAAUGUUCUGGAAGUAAAAAAAUGAAAAAGUUAUUUGUGUAGAUUAUCUUUGUCGAUCCAGUUUCCAAAGAGAUCCAAAAGUGGGGGAUUGUGCAUUUGAGCCUUUUACUUUGCACUUUUCCUUCAAAUUAGUGUUUCCUGAUCAGUCAUCUCCAAACCAAACUUCCAAAACAACUUCCCUCUUCCUUUCUGUUUCUUUUUUUUUCUCCAUGGAUAUAAUAAUAUUUUGUGGCCAACGAACUUUAUCCACUGUAAAAGUAAGUCACCUUAUUUGGUAGGUUUUGUCAUUGGGUAAAGUUUAGUGACUUUACUAUUGUAGCGAGUAAAUUUCAACUACUUUAAUGUAACAAAAAAGUUAUGUGACUUUACUGUUAUAGUCGGUAAAGUUUAGUUACUUUACUGUUCUACCGGGUACAGUUAAGUUGCUUUAGCGCGACAAAACAAUUUCUAACUUUACCAUUAUAAUGAAUAAAGUACGUGAAAUUUAACCCUUAAAAGUUUCUAGUAAAUUUCUUUUACUUGUAACUGUUUCGAAUUAUAUUUGUUCACCCAAAUAAAUUCCGAUGAUAUUUCAAAUCCCUGUUAAAGAUAGCCAUUGCAAAUGAAAGUUGAACAUGAAAAGACACAGCAGGGUGAAAAAACACAUGGUGGGUGAAGUCUUGUCAAGGCAAAGACAAACAAACGUCUAAAGCAUAGUUGAUGCUAUAACUAUAAAAGUUUAAAUAUAGGGAAAACAGACUCACGAGGGCGUAUAUAUCAAGUACUUGAGAGGGGGAAACAUAGAGAACAUCCACUUAGGAAUGAGCUCAAAGUUGCAAUGCCCCAUGUUGUUCAUGAAAUCAACGUAAGUGAUGUACGCACCAAAUGCAGCUAUAGAAGCAGUUCCAGUGAAAAAAGUUGUGACCCCCGGUAUAAGAAAGAGCGUGUAAUAUGCUAUGAUCUCAGCAAACGGAUGAAUAACAGCUGCAACAAUAAAAAACUUUGCUUUGUAAUUAUUUGCAGAUAGGUCAUUGAUUGUCUUUGAAAUUAAACUGAAACCAAGUGACCUAUAAGCCAGCAGGCAGGUCUUUAAUAUGCAGAAAGCCAAUCUACAAAGUACUUAUAUUCUCAUCCAUCCCAUUUAAAUCAUAUAUAUGAGUGACAGCCAUUCUACAAGAUCUUUUUAACAUUAUCUACUGACUACUGUCGAUAUUAUUUUCUAGGUUACUAUGUCAGGCUUAAUAUAAGCUCCUUGUAAUAUCUGAUGUAUUUUCUCCAAGACUGAUUGUUCUUCCUCUAGAAAACUACAUCAAAUUAAACAUAUGAUACAAAACGUUUACGAAGACGACUUACAAGUGAUGGGCUCAGUAACAAUGGAGGAGUGAUGAUGGGAAUGAUAACGAGAGUAGAGAAAAUGGUGAUGCAGAGCUCUGUGAAGCCAAUAAUAGAGAAACUCGACAGGACCGAUAUGCAUCAAGGCAGUUAUUAUGAUCCCAUCAGUCCUCCACAAAGGCAAGUGAUGAGUCUGUUGGAACUUCAGGUACGCAACGUAGAAUACCAUUCCAUUAAGUAUGAUUUGAUCAUCCCUACAAAAAUACUUCAACCUUAAAUCAAUUUUGUCAUGUACAGUUUGUUUUGCACGUUAUUUUUUGCUUUGUUGGAUUCUUUUUGGACACUGUCGAAACCUAACCCGUUUGGAUUGGCUUAUUUUAAGUGCUUUUAAGCCAAAAUGCUUUUAAGCCAUUUUGUAGUGUUUGGAUAAAGUAAAAAAAAAUGCUUUUAAGCACUUGUUUUUAAGCUAAAAUGACAAAAACAAGCCCAAAGCCAAAAACUAGAAAUCCUAACUUAUGGCUUAAAAACUAUUUUGGCUUAAAAGUUUCUUAAAAUAAGCCCAUUCAAAGGGCUCUAGUACUGUCAAAGCAUGAUUAGGGCCCGUUUGGAUUGGCUUAAAAAAAGUGGCUUUUAAGUUAAGUGCUUAAAAGCACUUUAUAAGUGAUGGAACUUGUUUUAUAAAUAAACAGUUACGUGUUUGGAUAAAAGUGCUGAAACUUAAAACAAGCUGAUGAAGUGUUUGGUAAACAAGUGCUAGUAAGCACUUUUUCUUGUUAAAAUGACUGAAAUAUCUUUAAAGUUGUUAACAUUAUAAAGAAGAGACCAUAAUAUUAUAUUUUCCGUUCAUAGCUUCAAAUUCAGGGGUAACACGUAAAUUCAUUGAAUGAUUUGAUUUUAGAAUAUAGUUACACCAAUUAAAAAAAAAAGGAAGGAUUCAACGACCAAAAAAAUUAAAUGUUAUGGAACCAAAAAAAGAAGCCAAAACAACAAUAUUUACAAAAUAUUGGAAUGUAUCAAACAUUAUUUAAAAAACUAUUGUUUGCUUCACGUUAAGAACUUCAAGAAAUUGACAAAUAUUGGAGAAUGGGGGGGGGGGGGGGAAUAGUAUGUUGUAGGGUUUUUACUUGGGGGUAAUUUCGAGAUUAAGAAAAAUUAUAAGGGAUAAGAAUGUAAUAUCCUUGGUCAAAGCAAUAUGGCUUUUAAGCCAAUUUAGAAAAAGUUGGGUUUUCCAACUUAUUGGUUUUGGCUUUUUUAAAGCAGAUUUUAACUUUUUUAAGCUUAUUUUUUGAUUGCCAAACACUUCCACAAGUUAAAAAUUGCUUAAAAGCUGGUCAAACCAGUUUUUAAGCCCAUCCAAACAGGCUCUUAGACAUGUGCGACCUAGUCCAAGAUUCUGACUCCUAUCAGGCGUAUAGCUUUUCUUCUGGCUGAAACAUUCCGAUAACAUCUUCAGCUGGAGAACACUUGAUUUGCAUCAUAACUUUUAGUGCACAAAAGGGUCUUAUUCAGCCUACUAGCGAUAUCUCAGCUUUGGGCUAGGCCCACAAGGUCUUAGGAUAUGUCACUAGGAUCUAAGGUUUGUUUUCUUAUAUACCCAACAAUCUCUUUAUUUUUUGCUGUAUAUGAGAUACACCACCUCUUUUAAAGAUUCAACAUUGUUGUAAGAUGUGAGAUUCACCUAAACUCAGUUGAUAUUUUGCCCUACCGUCUCUCUUAAUGAUGUGAGAUUUGCUUAAAACUCAGCUUUCAGUUGAGAGUUGCCCAACCAUCGCCUAAGGUUGUAUGAGUGGUUCUGGUCUUCCCAGCCUACAAGGCAUCAUCUUUCUCAUAUUUUUGCCGAUGUGAAAGUUACAUAGAGUGUUACGUUAAUGACCACCAGAGGUUCGAUUAUUCGUUAUAUAAUCGAAUCUUCCUUGCUAAGAAAUUGGAGGCGACUCAUUUUAAGAAAUUUUCUCAUUCGGACGAGGUUGAAUAUUACUACUUACUACUGCAGAGUGGGUGAGGUUGGAAUGUACAUACCAGUUUCGUUCUCUGUCAACUUGAUCAAAUUCAAUGCUCUUGUCAAGAAUCCGAUUAUCACCCUUGGUAGUCCUGUAGCGAGAUAGAGAUAUCCAUAUCUGGUUGUGAAUCACUCUCGAGAGUAGAAGUGGGAGUAUGAUUAUGUAUGCAAUGUCCCUCUGACUUUCAUCUUUGCCCAUGAAGAAUGAGUAUAUGCUAUGACCCACAAAUGGUGCCAAAAGCAAGUACUUCAUCCCAACAAUUUCAUAAAAAAAAGAGUAGAGAGUUUAGCAAGUCUAGCUAUAACUUCCUGAUUCAGCACAGAAUUGUUUAGAAGGAAGAAAAGAACACAAAGGUUUAUGCAUUUAAGUGUAAACUUAAUUGUCAAUGCCAAUACUACGUAACACAAGUUCUGAUGAAAACAUUAUAGCUAAUUAGUUACUUACCUUUUACUUUUAAAAGGAAGAAGAACGAAAAAUGUAACGAGUUCGAGUACCAUGAGCAUUUUAACAAAAGAGACGGUAGAACUUUUGAAAGCAGUACAUCAAAUCAUAUCAUCAAUCAAAUUAUAUUAAAAUUAGGAAGCUUCAAAUGUCAAAGUUGAAUUACUAAAAUGUCCAUAAAAAUGAAGGACUAUUUUACCCAUUAAUUAUAUAAACACUACUUCACUAAUAUUCUUGUACUAAAAAGUAAACUUACCUUCCAAUAAAUAUUUUGGUACUGCUUAAUGCAGCCUAUUCAACUCCUAAGUAUUGCUUUCAUCUUCUGAUACUUUAUUGCAAAUGUACGUACUAUCUCAACCUUUAGAAUGUCCAUUCAAUGUUUGCUCCUUUGAGCUUCCACCAAUUAUUAAAGAUUCAUGUAUUUCAGCUUUCUCUCCCUCUUGUAUUCACUUUAUAAAAUUGGAUAAUGAAAUCAAUUAAGAAAUUCUUCUUACUACCAUUUGUAAAUUGGAAAAAUUGUUUUUCUUAUUAAAAAAUUGUUCUUUUCAUUUGCCAUAUCUGUUAACUGUCUGCAACACAUUAACACCAAUCUGUAAGUGUCAAAUGAGGUAAAGAUUUUUUUCUUUCCUGUUAAUUUUACGAGUCUCGUGCAAAUUUUACAAUUGUUCUUGUUUUUAUAUAAUAUUUUCAUAAUUUUUAUCAUGAAAAUAAAUAUCUUUUGUUAUGAAAAGUUUGACUACUACACUAUCCAUAUUGAUUUUCAGUGAGAAAUAGAGUUAAUUUUGUUAUUUUCCUUGUGUUGUAACAAGGAAUUUUGGAUUCAAAAUGUUAGGCUAAUUAUCACGCCCGUUAGUAGACUUCACUUCUUUACUUCCUCUUCUAUCUACUUUUACCACUAAGAAGUCAUGGGGUUAUGUGGAAGACUACUACUUAACUCAUAGAACAAUAGUGCCUACAAUGUACGGUCAACAGUUAAAUUGUCAAUUGUUAUCAUUUGAAUUUAUGUUUCAAUGAUAUAUAAGUAGAAGAAUAUUAGACAAAUGAAGAACAUAACUUUUCAGGGGGGGGGGGGAAAGAAAAAUUAAGUUUUUGAAUACAUAUGACUAGGGGUGUACAUGGAUCGGGUUGAUUUGAUUUUUAUCAGAACCAAACCAAACCAAACCAAACCAACUAUAUCGGUUUGGAUUGGUUCGGUUUUGUCGGAUAUUUCGAGUUUUUUGUCACUUAAAUAUUAUUUCAAUCUUACUUUGUCAAUUUUUUGAUAAGUAAAUAUAUGUUUAGUAAAAAUAUAAAAAAUUGACAAAUAUAUGAUCUAUUAAUAUAUUUUUAUGGGAGAAUUUUCUUAGUAACACAUAAUAGUUAUUUUUUUAGUCGUCUGACAAUAAUUUUUCGUUGAUGUACACUUUCAAGGUGAACCGAAUUUAGUAAUUAAACAUAGAAAUCAAUAUGAUACCUAAAUAAUAACAAUCACUUCAUAUUCGAAAAAGAUAUAAGAAUUUAAUAGAUCUUAACAUAUGAUAUGAAUAUGGAAGAGCAAAGAAAUUGACGCAUUUCAUUAACACUUGAAGAGAAAGUGAUCAUACAACCCAUUAUUUAAAGUUAAUAAAUAUGGAGCACUUCAUAUACUAUUAAAUAUUAUAUCCUGCAAGAUAAACCCAAAUAUUUUAUAGACAUUUUUUAAAGAAAAUUCUAUAUAAAAUCUUAAAAGUAUAUAUAAAAAUUAUAUAUUUAUAUGUCGGUUUGGUUCAGAUUUUUUUACUCGAUACCAAAUCGAAUCAAAUCAAACGUAGUCAGAUUUUUUAAUCGGUUUGGUUUGACUAUUCGAUUUGGUGCGAUUUUUCGGUUCGGUUUGUACACCCCUACAUCUGACUUCCAAGAGCUACAUCCAUUUUAUAGAAAUUUUAACAAAUCAUUUAGAUAUUUUUGAUUAUCUUCAAUUUUAAAAUGUUUGUAAUGAUUGAUAAAGGUUAUUACACGUGUUAAGAAACUAGUAUUCAAAUAAGAAAGAAUAUUUUCUUAUAAGUUGUUGAUUUAAUUACUAUUGCUAUAUUAGAAAGCACUAGAAGGAAGUGCCGUCUAUCCCUUUCUUUAUGGACAACCGUACAAUCAAGAAAUACGUAUUCCAACAACAGAAAAAGAAAGAAGAGAUCUAUGUAACUUCGUAAAAUUACAUCAUUUUAAGUCUAAAUGCUUUCCAAUAAUAUGUUUUGACCGCAAAAAAAAGAGGAAACAAUAGUUAGUAAUUCAAGAAAGAGUACCUUGAAAUUCCCAAGGCGUGCCCAUGGCCACUCUGUGAGAAUGCCAGGUUUAGUAGCCAUUCUUUUGUUCCUUCAACACAAAACUGGUAAAACUAAGUAUUUGUAGCUUUGUUCAACUUGUUCUUUCCCUGUGUUCUCUUAAAAGCCUCUGCUUCCACUGCCUUAUAUAUACUAUUGAAUCUUGUUAUACAAGAUUGCAUGUACAAAAUCAAUCCUAAUCACCGUAUAAUAAUUUUGCAUGCAGGAACAAACUAUAUUGUAUAAUAACUACAAGUUGUAUUUCAUAUUUAAGUGACAUAAUCUUUUGUUUUGUUGGACCGUGUGACCUAGGGCUAAGCAAUUACGAGUUCAUCUAGCAAUAGAUUAUGCUACAUUAAUUGUGUGUGUGCGUAGAAAUUUGGAAAUGCGCAUUAAAAGUGUGUGACACCAUGCCAAUGCAACAGUUAUGAAUAUAGUUCAUAAUGUGGAGAUACAAAAUGUAAGUGGCUAAAAUAAAUAUAGUUCUACUACAUUAUGAAUAUUCCUCUUUAUAUGAAUGAUGCGGAGAUACAAUAUAUAAGUGAACUUCUUGAACAAUGCACCAUUGUUAAAUCUUGCAAGCCUCCCCACCACCCAAACCUACCCACAAAAAAUAAUAAAUAAAACCAAUUUAUAAAAAAGAUGAAAAGAAGCAUCAUAUAUAUCCAAUCCUUCGUCUGUUUCAUUUUAUAUGGCUGUAUACGUGUAAAACCGAGCCCACUAAAUACUUCGAUUUUCCAGUGAGCGAAACGGAACAGAAACGUGACCGUAAUGUAUCGGAGUCAAAGCGAGGAGUCCCUCGUAUCGGGGCUCGGGCAAAGCACCUGCCCUCGGGGGUAUAGGGGCAAUGUCCUCCAGGUUCGGUUCGAGAAUCAAAAUUUCGGAGAGCAUUAUCAAACAACUGCACACAACUAACAAAGGGCCGUGAUGUCCGUGUCCGACCAUAUAUCACGGCGUGAAUCUCGACCCGUAUUGAUAAAAAAUCAGUGAUUACCGAAACAAAAGAUUUUUACCUUUCUUAGAAUUGUACUUAGGGUAAAAUUCCCAUACUAUAUAAAGGGGGAGUUUAUUAUUCAUGAGAUACAUUGUAACACGCAUAUCAAGGCAAUUUAUUUCAAUUCUCU